GACGAACGCUGGCGGCAUGCUUAACACAUGCAAGUCGAACGGAAAGGCCCUGCUUUCGUGGGGUGCUCGAGUGGCGAACGGGUGAGUAACACGUGAGUAACCUGCUCUUGUUUUUGGGAUAACUUCAGGAAACUGGGGCUAAUACCGGAUAGGAGCUCCUGCUGCAUGGUGGGGGUUGGAAAGUUUCGGCGGUUGGGGAUGGACUCGCGGCUUAUCAGUUUGUUGGUUGGGUAGUGGCUUACCAAGGCUUUGACGGGUAGCCGGCAGGUGAGGGUGGACGGCCACAUUAGGACUGAGAUACGGCCCAGAGUCGUACGGGGGACAGCAGUGGGGAAUAUUGCACAAUGGGCGGAAGCGGGAUGCAGCAACGCCGCGUGCGGGAUGACGGCCUUCGGGUUGUAAACCGCUUUCGCCUGUGACGAAGCGUGAGUGACGGUAAUGAGUAAAGAAGCACCGGCUAACUACGUG
rnacentral:rRNA from 1 species